rnacentral:rRNA from 1 species
AGUGAACGCUGGCGGUAGGCCUAACACAUGCAAGUCGAACGAGUGCCUUCGGGUGCUAGUGGCGCACGGGUGCGUAACGCGUGGGAAUCUGCCCUUGGGUUCGGAAUAACUGGGAGAAAUUCCAGCUAAUACCGGAUGAUGUCGAAAGACCAAAGAUUUAUCGCCUGAGGAUGAGCCCGCGUAGGAUUAGGUAGUUGGUGGGGUAAAGGCCUACCAAGCCGACGAUCCUUAGCUGGUCUGAGAGGAUGAUCAGCCACACUGGGACUGAGACACGGCCCAGACUCCUACGGGAGGCAGCAGUGGGGAAUAUUGGACAAUGGGCGCAAGCCUGAUCCAGCAAUGCCGCGUGAGUGAUGAAGGCCUUAGGGUUGUAAAGCUCUUUUACCCGGGAUGAUAAUGACAGUACCGGGAGAAUAAGCCCCGGCUAACUCCGUGCCAGCCGCCGCCGUAA